UAUAGCAAUUUAGAGCGUGAGGCCCUUGCAAUUAUUUUUGCAAUAAAAAAAUUUCAUAAAUAUCUGUAUGGAAGAAAAUUUGUCUUAAUUACGGAUCAUCAAUCUUUACAGUUCAUAUUUGGAAAAAAACAAAGGUAUCCCGACAUCUGCUGCAUCUAGAAUCACACGAUGGGCAGUUACAUUAUCUGGGUAUCAAUAUGACAUUCAGUAUA
rnacentral:lncRNA from 1 species